GUCGGGAAUUUUGGGCAAUGGGCGAAAGCCUGACCCAGCAACGCCGCGUGAGGGAUGAAGUAUUUCGGUAUGUAAACCUCGAAAGAAUGGGAAGAAUAAAUGACGGUACCAUUUAUAAGCUCCGGCUAACUACGUGCCAGCAGCCGCGGUAAUACGUAGGGAGCAGGCGUUGUUCGGAUUUACUGGGCGUAAAGGGCGCGUAGGCGGCGCGGUAAGUCACUUGUGAAAUCUCUGAGCUUAACUCAGAACGGCCAAGUGAUACUGCUGUGCUAGAGCGCGGAAGAGGCAACCGGAAUUCUUGGUGUAGCGGUGAAAUGCGUAGAUAUCAAGAGGAACACCUGAGGCGAAGGCGGGUUGCUGGGCCGACACUGACGCUGAUGCGCGAAAGCCAGGGGAGCAAACG
rnacentral:rRNA from 1 species